AAGAGAACUACAAGCUGCAAUCUGUACGCUUUCAAUUCAAUUUCUUUUAUAGAUUCAAUCAAAAUGCAUACAAUUGCUCCAUCAUCCGGUGUAACUCUCAAAUCCUUAGUCCAGCAAACAUCGCCACCGCCGGCUCAGAUCAGCCGGUUCGUCCCAGCUCGACUCGUCGUCCAAUGCGGGUACCGGUUUGAUUCAGCCAACACAAACGCUAGUACUGUCAAUACAAACGGUAUUCCGGCGAGCAACAAUUUCGCCGGCCAUGUCGGAGCGUCAAGAGCUGACUGGCAGAGCUCUUGUGCUAUUCUGGCGAGCAAGGUUGUUUCGCAGCAGCAGGAUACUGAGAAAACAGGUGGAGCUGGUGAGAUAACUGUAGUAAACGGACACAAAUCUCUGGAUCUCGUUCCUCUUGAUAACAAUCUCCCAAAGCCGCUCACAAUUACUGAUCUCUCUCCUGCGCCCAUGCACGGCUCGCAGCUUCGCGUAGCCUAUCAAGGAGUACCCGGCGCGUAUAGUGAAGCUGCUGCUGGAAAGGCUUAUCCUAAAUGUGAAGCCAUACCUUGCGAUCAAUUUGAAGUUGCAUUUCAAGCAGUGGAACUCUGGAUUGCAGAUCGUGCAGUACUCCCUGUAGAAAAUUCUCUUGGAGGUUCAAUUCACCGCAAUUAUGAUCUCCUCCUCCGUCACCGUCUCCACAUAGUCGGCGAAGUCCAACUUCCCGUUCAUCACUGCCUCUUAGCUCUUCCAGGUGUUCGUAAAGAGUACCUGACCAGAGUCAUCAGCCAUCCACAAGCCUUAGCCCAGUGCGAGCUCACUCUCACAAAACUCGGCCUGAACGUAGUGCGUGAAGCUGUCGACGACACUGCCGGAGCUGCGGAGUACAUCGCCGCCAACAACCUCCGCGACACAGCCGCCAUCGCGUCGGCACGGGCCGCAGAACUAUACGGUCUACAGAUCCUGUCCGAAGGAAUCCAGGAUGAUUCAAGCAACGUGACUCGAUUCGUGAUGCUCGCCAGAGAACCAAUAAUUCCCCGAACCGAUCGUCCAUUCAAAACGAGCAUCGUUUUCGCACACGACAAAGGAACGAGCGUGCUGUUCAAGGUGCUAUCAGCUUUUGCUUUUAGGAAUAUCAGCUUGACGAAGAUCGAGUCUCGGCCCCAUCGUAACCGGCCGAUUCGAUUGGUGGAUGAUGCAAAUGUGGGAACAGCAAAGCAUUUUGAAUACAUGUUCUAUGUAGAUUUUGAAGCGUCAAUGGCGGACGUGAGGGCACAGAAUGCGUUGGCUGAAGUUCAGGAGUUCACAUCUUUCUUGAGGGUAUUGGGUAGCUAUCCUAUGGACAUGACCCCAUGGUGUCCAUCUAGGGAAGAGUAAACAAUUCUUUUUCAUGAAAUAAUUAUUUUCUUUAAUUUGUAAUUAUAUUUUCCGAAUUAGGUAAAAUACAAGCAAUUGAAGUUCAAUUCCAU
rnacentral:misc_RNA from 1 species